rnacentral:rRNA from 1 species
CAGGCCUAACACAUGCAAGUCGAACGGCAGCACAGUGGUAGCAAUACCAUGGGUGGCGAGUGGCGGACGGGUGAGGAAUACAUCGGAAUCUACCUUUUCGUGGGGGAUAACGUAGGGAAACUUACGCUAAUACCGCAUACGACCUUAGGGUGAAAGCGGAGGACCUUCGGGCUUCGCGCGGAUAGAUGAGCCGAUGUCGGAUUAGCUAGUUGGCGGGGUAAAGGCCCACCAAGGCGACGAUCCGUAGCUGGUCUGAGAGGAUGAUCAGCCACACUGGAACUGAGACACGGUCCAGACUCCUACGGGAGGCAGCAGUGGGGAAUUUUGGACAAUGGGCGCAAGCCUGAUCCAGCAAUGCCGCGUGCAGGAAGAAGGCCUUCGGGUUGUAAACUGCUUUUGUCAGGGAAGAAAUCCUUUGGGUUAAUACCUCGGAGGGAUGACGGUACCUGAAGAAUAAGCACCGGCUAACUACGUGCCAGCAGCCGCGGUAAU